CUGGCUGGUUCCAAAUAGGCAUGACACCUAAGGCCAGAGUUCCCAGAACAUUCCUCCUUGAAGGAAUGAGGAAGCAAGAAAAAGCACAUCUGGAGUCCACGGGCCAAGUCUGGCAGCGGUCAGUCCUGAGCCAACGUGGUCUGUGAGGGUUGGGCCCAGGUGGGAAAAUCCAGGGGCCCCCGAUGAUGAACAGGCAGCCACCAGGGGGCGCUGUGGGGGCUGGUGGCUCACCCGGGCACAGGGGCUGGGGGUGGGGGCAGGAUGCAGGGGGCUCUGUCUCCUCUCACCUCUUUCUUUCAAGGCCCUUCCUUUGCUUCUCACUGGCUCACUUGUUCAUACUUAAAAGGCAGUGGGACUGUGUCAAGAGCUGGUCCCUAGAGUCCAACCGCAGCCCUGCCCUCCUGGCCAUCUGAUCACAGCAAGUAACCUCACGCCCUCACUGUGCAGACGAGCUGGGACUUGGCACGUGCUGUGCGGUACACAGUUUCAGCACUGAUAACCCAGCUCCCAGCUCUUGUCACUUCCCUUAGGAGACCAAGUCCACCCACCUGGGCUCCCGGGGCCCACUCCCACCAGCCGGCCCCAGUCAGGCCUCCUCGUCCCUGUGCUGUCCCCGCCUGCCGUGUGUCCCCAGGCUGGUCCUGGCAGCUGCAGGAUGAAGCAAGCUCUUACCCAUAAAUGUCCUCUGCGAGCCUCUGAAUCAUCGUUCUCGAAACUUUGCCUUGGAAUUUGUUCUGUUGCCCCCAGUUGAGUGUGUCAAACAGGGAGCCCCAAGGCUGGGGGUGGGGGGGUGGGGGCGGGGGCGGGGGGCGGCUGCAGAACGUCACUUCCCUGGGAACAGCUCCCGACUUCAGCUGGCUCACACAUGGCUCAGAUGUGGGCUCCACAUCCUCUGCCAGGGAAAAUAGAAGACGUACAAAAAUUAAAAAGGAAAGAACGUUUUCCUCAGCCGCAGUCUCCACGGAGCUUUCAGCAAAGGUCCAGGCCUGAGCGCGGCCAGAGCCCCAGCAAGCAUGGAAGCAGCCUUCCUCUGAAGACAAUCAGACCAGAGGGAACAGGCAGUGGGCGACUGGACCCCUCAGCACAGAGGGCUCAGGGAGUGGGGGCACUGACCCCCUGGGAAGUGGAGUCCUGCCCAGUGGGAGAAAGGGAAGGGGGACCCCGGGUGGGAGCGGGGCUCUGCCCCAGGCACAGACUCCUCACAUGGCCCCUGGGCCGGAAGUGUGGGCAGUGA
rnacentral:lncRNA from 1 species